UGGGGUAUCGCCAAGCGGUCAGGCACCGGUUUUUGAUCCCGGCCUUCCCUGGUUCCAAACGAGUUUCCCCGGCCA
rnacentral:tRNA from 1 species